CCUACGGGAGGCAGCAGUGGGGAAUCUUGCGCAAGUGGGCGAAAGCCUGACGCAGCCAUGCCGCGUGUAUGAUGAAGGUCUUAGGAUUGUAAAAUACUUUCACCGGUGAAGAUAAUGACUGUAGCCGGAGAAGAAGCCCCGGCUAACUUCGUGCCAGCAGCCGCGGUAAUACGAAGGGGCUAGCGUUGCUCGGAAUUACUGGGCGUAAAGGGAGCGUAGGCGGACAUUUAAGUCAGAGGUGAAAUCCCGGAGCUUAACUUCGGAACUGCCUUUGAUACUGGGUGUCUUGAGUGUGAGAGAGGUAUGUGGAACUCCGAGUGUAGAGGUGAAAUUCGUAGAUAUUCGGAAGAACACCAGUGGCGAAGGCGACAUACUGGCUCAUUACUGACGCUGAGGCUCGAAAGCGUGGGGAGCAAACAGGAUUAGAUACCCUGGUAGUCCACGCCGUAAACGAUGAUNUCUAGUGUCGGAGCUGUCUCUCGUGACGC
rnacentral:rRNA from 1 species